rnacentral:lncRNA from 1 species
CACACUUUCACUGACAUCAACAGGUAGUCAAACCUCUUAGUUCAAUGCCUGCAUUCGAUCUUAAGGGUUUACUGGAUGUUGUUAAGUCCUCUUUUUAAAGGUUUUGUCGAAGAAUCUGGUCCAGCAGGUGAAAAAACAGGUGCUGAACACAAAAACUCGUCCUCGAUUGCCCAUAUAUUCCCAGUGUCAGAACAUUAUAUUCCUUACGCUGCCGUUGGUCUGGCUAUCAUGUGUGCAGUUGGACUGGUCACUGUCUGUCAUUGCAGAAAGAGAGUCAAGUCAAGUUGUAAUCUUGAUAGAUCCAUGUACAAUUCCCAACACAGCGAGGAGGCUAAUGCUGUUUAUCAGAACACUCCUGAUGACAGACACUACAUCACCAUGAAGAUGUCCAGUGACAAGUCUAAUAAUGAAAGCCAAUCAGACCCAAUCUACCAGAACCUACAGUGCAACACAACCCUGGGAGAGGAUGUAUAUGGCAAUCUAUAA